rnacentral:tRNA from 1 species
GGUUUGUAGCUCAGGGGUAGAGCGCUCACCUAGCACAGGCGAGGUCCUGGGUUUGAUCCUCAACACCA